AGUCUUAUGGGGCAAUGGUAGCCCGCCUAACUCGUACUUCUUUCUAUCUUGAGUACAGGCAACGCUGGUUCGAAUCCAGCUGAGACGC